GGGUUUGUAAUGUUGGACUUAAUUUAAGGACCAAAGUGAAAUUGAUUGCAAUGUCACGCCCCGGGGUCCCUUUUUAGUUUAAAGCAUAGCGGAAAAGCGUCUGAAUUUUUUUUUUUUUAAAAACCUGACCCCAGGGUAUGCCAGAUCCGCCACAAAUACAGGAGAUCCACCGUUCACAUGGACAGAGUCUUCCCUGUAUUUGCACGGCGUCGCACAAGUACAAGAGUUCAAACAUGAUACAACCACAACCAGAUGAACAUACAAAUAACCACAGUUAUGUAUAUUCAUACACCAUUCACCACAGAUUCAUAUUUUUCCAUUCAAUAUUUAAACAUAAAUUCACAUCUAUCAGUUAAAAUGUUUCCAAUUACAGAAACAAGUUUUGAAAUACUAAGAUACAAAAUCACAGAAAACCCUUUGAAAACUGUUCCCUACACGGGAACUUUUAUCUUUUAAAACGCUACCACGAGAGGUAGAAAACCAUUUUUAUUUCAAGAAAACACAAAUCCUUUAUUACAUUCCAAAACCAACUGAAAACUAAGAUAUUCAGAUAAUAACACAAAACUGAACCAUGUAAACCGACUAAGCUAUAUAUAUCCACAGAAAUAAAAAGGGUAAUAGCUAAAUCGAAAUAACCUGGGUCGGAAGCUCUAUCGACCGCUACACACGUACCUCACGUCUCGUCCCACUAAACAUCGCCCGCGAUACCUGAAAAAUGGUGGGGGAGGUGAGAACAUGU
rnacentral:lncRNA from 1 species